UGGGGUAUAGCUCAGUUGGUAGAGCACCUGCCUUGCAAGCAGGGGGUCAGCGGUUCGAAUCCGCUUAUCUCCA
rnacentral:tRNA from 1 species